UUUUAAAACUAUGUAUGCCCCUUUAUUUUUGUAUCUCUCCUCCGUUGCCUGAAAUUGUGGGUAGUCUGGUGCACUAAACACAGUAAUUAGCUUUCCUGACUCCACAACAUGAUCUAUGGUGUACCCUUCAUCCAUUCCUGCAAGACCAGGCCUCUUUUCUCUUGCAUCAGGACCUUCAUGGGAUCUGAUUAUUAGCUUUAGAUGGAACUUUUUCAAAAAUUCUUCAGUACAAUCUGGUCCCCACAAUAGACCAAUGCCUCUUUC
rnacentral:misc_RNA from 1 species